AACGAACUUGGAGAUAGCUGGUUCUCUCCGAAAUAGCUUUAGGGCUAGCGUCGAUGUUAAGUCUCUUGGAGGUAGAGCACUGUUUGGGUGAGGGGUCCAUCCCGGAUUACCAAUCUCAGAUAAACUCCGAAUGCCAACGAGAUAUAAUCGGCAGUCAGACUGCGAGUGCUAAGAUCCGUAGUCGAAAGGGAAACAGCCCAGACCACCAGCUAAGGUCCCAAAAUAUAUGUUAAGUGGAAAAGGAUGUGGGGUUGCACAGACAACUAGGAUGUUAGCUUGGAAGCAGCUAUUCAUUCAAAGAGUGCGUAAUAGCUCACUAGUCGAGUGACCCUGCGCCGAAAAUGUACCGGGGCUAAAACAUAUUACCGAAGCUGUGGAUACCUUUAUAGGUAUGGUAGGAGAGCGUUCUAUGUGCGAAGAAGGUGUACCGUGAGGAGUGCUGGAGCGCAUAGAAGUGAGAAUGCCGGUAUGAGUAGCGAAAGACAGGUGAGAAUCCUGUCCACCGUAAGACUAAGGUUUCCAGGGGAAGGCUCGUCCGCCCUGGGUUAGUCGGGACCUAAGGAGAGACCGAAAGGUGUAUCCGAUGGACAACAGGUUGAUAUUCCUGUACUAGAGUAUAUAGUGAUGGAGGGACGCAGUAGGCUAACUAAACCAGACGAUUGGAAGUGUCUGGCCAAGCAGUGAGGUGUGAUAUGAGUCAAAUGCUUAUAUCUAUAACAUUGAGCUGUGAUGGGGAGCGAAGUUUAGUAGCGAAGUUAGUGAUGUCACACUGCCGAGAAAAGCUUCUAGCGUUAAUUAUACUCUACCCGUACCGCAAACCGACACAGGUAGUCGAGGCGAGUAGCCUCAGGUGAGCGAGAGAACUCUCGUUAAGGAACUCGGCAAAAUGGCCCCGUAACUUCGGGAGAAGGGGCGCUGACUUAUGGUCAGCCGCAGUGAAUAGGCCCAAGCAACUGUUUAUCAAAAACACAGCUCUCUGCUAAAUCGUAAGAUGAUGUAUAGGGGGUGACGCCUGCCCGGUGCUGGAAGGUUAAGAGGAGUGCUUAGCAAUAGCGAAGGUAUGAAUUGAAGCCCCAGUAAACGGCGGCCGUAACUAUAACGGUCCUAAGGUAGCGAAAUUCCUUGUCGGGUAAGUUCCGACCCGCACGAAAGGCGUAAUGAUUUGGGCACUGUCUCAACGAGAGACUCGGUGAAAUUUUAGUACCUGUGAAGAUGCAGGUUACCCGCGACAGGACGGAAAGACCCCAUGGAGCUUUACUGCAGUUUGAUAUUGAGUAUCUGUACCACAUGUACAGGAUAGGUAGGAGCCUAUGACCUCGGGACGCCAGUUUCGAGUGAGGCGUUGUUGGGAUACUACCCUUGUGUUAUGGCUACUCUAACCCAGAUAGGUUAUCCCUAUCGGAGACAGUGUCUGACGGGCAGUUUGACUGGGGCGGUCGCCUCCUAAAAGGUAACGGAGGCGCCCAAAGGUUCCCUCAGAAUGGUUGGAAAUCAUUCGCAGAGUGUAAAGGUAUAAGGGAGCUUGACUGCGAGAGCUACAACUCGAGCAGGGACGAAAGUCGGGCUUAGUGAUCCGGUGGUUCCGCAUGGAAGGGCCAUCGCUCAACGGAUAAAAGCUACCCUGGGGAUAACAGGCUUAUCUCCCCCAAGAGUCCACAUCGACGGGGAGGUUUGGCACC
rnacentral:rRNA from 1 species